rnacentral:pre_miRNA from 2 species
UACCGUUGGAUUCAGAAAUGAUGUCCGAGAUUCGUCCACGUCACUAUGAGUUAAAAUUUAACUCCCAGUAAAAUUUUAACUCAUGAGUGAAUCUGCGAGUUAAAUUUUAACUCAUGGUGACGUAGACGAAUCUCGGAUGUCCAUUUCUCGAUCCAACGGUA